AUACGUAGGUGACAAGCGUUAUCCGGAUUUACUGGGCGUAAAGGGCGCGUAGGCGGUCUUGCAAGUCAGAAGUGAAAUUCCUGGGCUCAACUCGGGCGCUGCUUCUGAAACUGCAGGACUUGAGUGCUGGAGGGGAUGGCGGAAUUCCUAGUGGAGCGGUAAAAUGCGCAGAUAUUAGGAAGAACACCGGUGGCGAAGGCGGCUAUCUGGACAGCAACUUACGCUGAGGCGCGAAAGCGUGGGGAGCAAAAAGGAUUAGAUACCCUGGUGGUCUACGCCGUAAACGAUGAAUACUAGGUGUAGGGGGUAUCGACUCCCUCUGUGCCGCAGUUAACACAAUAAGUAUUCCGCCUGGGGAGUACGGCCGCAAGGUUGAAACUCAAAUGAAUUGACGGGG
rnacentral:rRNA from 1 species